UGAACGCUGGCGGCGUGCUUAACACAUGCAAGUCGAACGAGAAAUCUCCUGCUUGCAGGAGAGAGUAAAGUGGCGUACGGGUGAGUAACGCGUGGGUAAUCUACCUCUGGAUUUGGGAUAACAUUGCGAAAGCGAUGCUAAUACCGGAUGAUAUCUAUAUUACUGUGGUAAGAUAGAUGAAAGAUGGCCGCUCCAUGGAAGCUAUUGUUUGGAGAUGAGCCCGCGUACCAUUAGCUUGUUGGUAGGGUAAAGGCCUACCAAGGCUACGAUGGUUAGCUGGUCUGAGAGGGUGAUCAGCCACACUGGAACUGACACACGGUCCAGACUCCUACGGGAGGCAGCAGUGAGGAAUUUUGCGCAAUGGGGGAAACCCUGACGCAGCAACGCCGCGUGAGUGAUGAAGGCUUUCGGGUCGUAAAGCUCUGUCAAGUGGGAAGAACCUGCAUAUGAUAAAUACUCAUGUGCACUGACGGUACCACUGAAGGAAGCACCGGCUAACUCC
rnacentral:rRNA from 1 species